rnacentral:rRNA from 1 species
UACGUAGGUCCCGAGCGUUGUCCGGAUUUAUUGGGCGUAAAGCGAGCGCAGGCGGUUUAAUAAGUCUGAAGUUAAAGGCAGUGGCUUAACCAUUGUUCGCUUUGGAAACUGUUAGACUUGAGUGCAGAAGGGGAGAGUGGAAUUCCAUGUGUAGCGGUGAAAUGCGUAGAUAUAUGGAGGAACACCGGUGGCGAAAGCGGCUCUCUGGUCUGUAACUGACGCUGAGGCUCGAAAGCGUGGGGAGCAAACAGGAUUAGAAACCCCAGUAGUCC